rnacentral:rRNA from 1 species
ACUCAAAUGAAUUGACGGGGACCCGCACAAGCGGUGGAGCAUGUGGUUUAAUUCGAGGCAACGCGAAGAACCUUACCAGGCCUUGACAUGGUUAGUAUGGAUCACAGAGAUGUUUUCCUUCAGUUUGGCUGGCUAACACACAGGUGCUGCAUGGCUGUCGUCAGCUCGUGUCGUGAGAUGUUGGGUUAAGUCCCGCAACGAGCGCAACCCUCGUCCUUAGUUGCCAACACAUAAUGGUGGGAACUCUAAGGAAACCGCCGGUGAUAAGCCGGAGGAAGGUGGGGAUGACGUCAAGUCUUCAUGGCCCUUACGGCCUGGGCUACACACGUGCUACAAUGGCGGUGACAAUGGGACGCGAAUCCGCGAGGCCGAGCAAAUCCCCAAAAACCGUCCAAGUUCAGAUUGCAGGCUGCAACUCGCCUGCAUGAAGCUGGAAUCGCUAGUAAUCGUAGAUCAGCACGCUACGGUGAAUACGUUCCCGGGUCUUGUACACACCGCCCGU